rnacentral:rRNA from 1 species
UACGGGGGGGGCAAGCGUUGUUCGGAAUUACUGGGCGUAAAGGGCUCGUAGGCGGCCAACUAAGUCAGACGUGAAAUCCCUCGGCUUAACCGGGGAACUGCGUCUGAUACUGGAUGGCUUGAGUUCGGGAGAGGGAUGUGGAAUUCCAGGUGUAGCGGUGAAAUGCGUAGAUAUCUGGAGGAACACCGGUGGCGAAGGCGGCAUCCUGGACCGACACUGACGCUGAGGAGCGAAAGCUAGGGGAGCAAACGGG